GCGGGUGUAGCUCAGUUGGUAGAGCAUCAGCCUUCCAAGCUGAGGGUCGCGAGUUCGAGUCUCGUCGCCCGCUCCA
rnacentral:tRNA from 7 species